rnacentral:rRNA from 1 species
UACGUAGGUGGCAAGCGUUGUUCGGAAUUAUUGGGCGUAAAGGGCGCGUAGGCGGCUUUCUAAGUCAGGGGUGAAAUCCGGCAGCUCAACUGUCGCAGUGCCUUUGAUACUGGAGAGCUCGAGGGAGGUAGGGGUCUGUGGAACUUCCGGUGGAGCGGUGAAAUGCGUUGAUAUCGGAAGGAACGCCGGUGGCGAAAGCGACGGACUGGAUCUCUUCUGACGCUGAGGCGCGAAAGCCAGGGGAGCAAAGCGGG